CCUACGGGUGGCAGCAGUGAGGAAUAUUGGUCAAUGGUCGGGAGACUGAACCAGCCAAGCCGCGUGAGGGAGGAAGGUACAGAGUAUCGUAAACCUCUUUUGUCAGGGAACAAAGGCGGGGACGUGUCCCCGGAUGAGUGUACCUGACGAAAAAGCAUCGGCUAACUCCGUGCCAUCAGCCGCGGUAAUACGGAGGAUGCGAGCGUUAUCCGGAUUUAUUGGGUUUAAAGGGUGCGCAGGCGGUCUGUUAGGUCAGCGGUCAAAGCCCGGGGCUCAACCCCGGCACGCCGUUGAAACUGGCAGGCUCGAGUUGGAGAGAGGUAUGCGGAAUGCGCGGUGUAGCGGUGAAAUGCAUAGAUAUCGCGCAGAACUCCGAUUGCGAAGGCAGCAUGCCGGCUCCACACUGACGCUGAGGCACGAAAGCGUGGGUAUCGAACAGGAUUAGAUACCCCUGUAGUC
rnacentral:rRNA from 1 species